rnacentral:lncRNA from 1 species
CACAGUUGAAGAUUAAUUCUUGCUUUUUAACGAGAUUUUAUUUUAAUUUCUUUUAAUUAAGGCAGCAAACAAGGAUCUUCACUAUCUCACUGUCCUACAAGCCACUGAUUGAUGCAAGGGAUUUCUUCCUUCAUGCAGGUGUUGUGAAGGAAAAAAGCAAGAGGAAAUAUAGUUGCAGUCAGAGGUCAAUGUAAAGAAGUCCAGGUAAAUCAAAACUAUUCUACACUGUAAAUAAUUUACUCUUCUCCCUUUGCCUUGUCCUUUCCCACCCCACCCCUGCUCUCUGUUUGCCCCACACUGACCUUUUCCUACCUUCUUUGUAGUCUUGUUAAUCCAACCUGGUUCAACACGCAGAACUGCUCCAGGUUUCCUUGGCUUUACCUGCUCUGUGUAAUUAAUGUAACCAAGUGAGUGGAUGAGCACUUUCCUCUAGGAGUCAAUAGGCAAGGAUGUUUGGAAAAUGAAUGAACUGCUA